rnacentral:rRNA from 1 species
AGAGUUUGAUCCUGGCUCAGAUUGAACGCUGGCGGCAUGCCUUACACAUGCAAGUCGAGCGGCAGCGCGGGGGCAACCCUGGCGGCGAGCGGCGAACGGGUGAGUAAUACAUCGGAACGUGUCCAGUAGUGGGGGAUAACCAGUCGAAAGAUUGGCUAAUACCGCAUACGAUCUACGGAUGAAAGCGGGGGACCGCAAGGCCUCGCGCUAUUGGAGCGGCCGAUGUCGGAUUAGCUAGUUGGCGGGGUAAAAGCCCACCAAGGCGACGAUCCGUAGCUGGUCUGAGAGGACGAUCAGCCACACUGGAACUGAGACACGGUCCAGACUCCUACGGGAGGCAGCAGUGGGGAAUUUUGGACAAUGGGCGCAAGCCUGAUCCAGCCAUGCCGCGUGAGUGAAGAAGGCCUUCGGGUUGUAAGGCUCUUUCGGCGGGGACGAAAUGGUCCGUGUCAACACCACGGACUGAUGACGGUACUCGCAGAAGAAGCACCGGCUAACUACGUGCCAGCAGCCGCGGUAAUACGUAGGGUGCGGGCGUUAAUCGGAAUUACUGGGCGUAAAGCGUGCGCAGGCGGCUCCUUAAGUCAGAUGUGAAAUCCCCGGGCUUAACCUGGGAACUGCGUUUGAAACUGGGGAGCUAGAGUGUGGAAGAGGGGGGUGGAAUUCCAGGUGUAGCAGUGAAAUGCGUAGAUAUCUGGAGGAACACCGAUGGCGAAGGCAGCCCCCUGGGCUAACACUGACGCUCAUGCACGAAAGCGUGGGGGAGCAAAACAGGAUUAGAUACCCUGGUAGUCCACGCC